rnacentral:rRNA from 1 species
UACCGGCGGCCCGAGUGGUAACCGCUAUUAUUGGGUUUAAAGGGUCCGUAGCCGGCAUAUUAAGUCUUUUGGGAAAUCUGGCGACUCAAUCGUCAGGCGACUUAAAGAAACUGAUAUGCUUGGGACUGGGAGAGGUAGGAGGUACUCCAGGGGUAGGGGUGAAAUCUUGUAAUCCCUGGGGGACCACCGAUGGCGAAGGCAUCCUACCAGAACAGGUCCGACGGUGAGGGACGAAAGCUGGGGGC